rnacentral:sRNA from 1 species
CAAUAGCCCCGAUGGGAGUGGCAUCCUUUUUUGGUGACUGAGGCUCUCGAAGUCACCAAAAAAGAUAAAACGGACAGCGGGAAAAUGG